UACGUAGGGGGCAAGCGUUGUCCGGAUUUAUUGGGCGUAAAGAGCGUGUAGGCGGCCAGGUAGGUCCGUUGUGAAAACUCGAGGCUCAACCUCGAGACGCCGAUGGAAACCAUCUGGCUAGAGUCCGGAAGAGGAGAGUGGAAUUCCUGGUGUAGCGGUGAAAUGCGCAGAUAUCAGGAAGAACACCUAUGGCGAAGGCAGCUCUCUGGGACGGUACUGACGCUGAGACGCGAAAGCGUGGGGAGCGAACAGG
rnacentral:rRNA from 1 species